rnacentral:rRNA from 1 species
UGCAUAUCAAUAAGCGGAGGAAAAGAAACUAACAAGGAUUCCCCUAGUAACGGCGAGUGAAGCGGGAAAGCUCAAAUUUGUAAUCUGGCGCCUUCGGCGUCCGAGUUGUAAUCUCGAGAAGUAUUUUCCGCGCUGGACCGCACAUAAGUCUGUUGGAAUACAGCGUCAUAGUGGUGAGAACCCCGUAUAUGGUGCGGAUGCCCAGUGCUUUGUGAUAUACUUUCGAAGAGUCGAGUUGUUUGGGAAUGCAGCUCAAAUUGGGUGGUAAAUUCCAUCUAAAGCUAAAUAUUGGCGAGAGACCGAUAGCGAACAAGUACCGUGAGGGAAAGAUGAAAAGCACUUUGGAAAGAGAGUUAACAGUACGUGAAAUUGUUGGAAGGGAAACGCUUGAAGUCAGACUUGCAUUUUGGAGUUCAGCCGCAAGGUGUAUUCUUCAAUUCGCAGGCCAGCAUCAGUUUUCGGGGGUGGAAAAUCGCGGUUUGAAGGUAGCAGUCUUGGCUGUGUUAUAGCUUUCCGCUGGAUUCACUUUUGGGGACUGAGGAACGCAGUACGCUUUUUUGCAAGAUUCUAGAGUCUUUCGUACUUAGGAUGCUGGUGGAAUGGCUUUAAACGACCCGUCUUGAAACACGGACCA